rnacentral:rRNA from 1 species
GAUGAACGCUGGCGGCGUGCCUAAUACAUGCAAGUCGAGCGAACAGACGAGAAGCUUGCUUCUCUGAUGUUAGCGGCGGACGGGUGAGUAACACGUGGAUAACCUACCUAUAAGACUGGGAUAACUUCGGGAAACCGGAGCUAAUACCGGAUAAUAUUUUGAACCGCAUGGUUCAAUAGUGAAAGACGGUCUUGCUGUCACUUAUAGAUGGAUCCGCGCUGCAUUAGCUAGUUGGUAAGGUAACGGCUUACCAAGGCAACGAUGCAUAGCCGACCUGAGAGGGUGAUCGGCCACACUGGAACUGAGACACGGUCCAGACUCCUACGGGAGGCAGCAGUAGGGAAUCUUCCGCAAUGGGCGAAAGCCUGACGGAGCAACGCCGCGUGAGUGAUGAAGGUCUUCGGAUCGUAAAACUCUGUUAUUAGGGAAGAACAAAUGUGUAAGUAACUGUGCACAUCUUGACGGUACCUAAUCAGAAAGCCACGGCUAACUACGUG